CUAGUUGGAUAGACUGUGAAACCAUAUCCCAAAAAUCAAAACCCUUUAAGAGACAAGGAAAGGAAACAUGCCGUCAAAUCUGCUGAGUAGUGUUUUUUCCAAUAUUUCUGUUUUUAUUUCAAGGAGAUCAUCUGUACCUGAGCUGAUUCAUUUGAGCUGACCUUUUUAAAACAUGCUGUGAUGGUGUUUCUAUGAAAACCACAAACAACAGUCCUGGUACACUCAA